GCUCGCUUAGCUCAGUUGGUAGAGCGCGGCACUAGUAUAGGUAUCGUGAUGCCGAGGUCUACGGUUCAACUCCGUAAGCGAGCA